CCUACGGGGCGCUGCAGUGAGGAAUAUUGGUCAAUGGGAGAGAUCCUGAACCAGCCAAGCCGCGUGAGGGAAGACGGCCCUAUGGGUUGUAAACCUCUUUUGUCGGAGAACAAAACCCGGGACGUGUCCCGGACUGCGUGUAUCCGAAGAAAAAGCAUCGGCUAACUCCGUGCCAGCAGCCGCGGUAAUACGGAGGAUGCGAGCGUUCUCCGGAUUUAUUGGGUUUAAAGGGUGCGUAGGCGGUCCGUUAAGUCAGCGGUAAAAUUGCGGGGCUCAACCCCGGCGAGCAGGUGAAAAUGGCAGACAUGAGUUGGCGAGAAGUACGCGGAAGGUGCGGGGGAGAGGUGAAAUGCAUAGA
rnacentral:rRNA from 1 species